GAUGAACGCUGGCGGCGUGCCUAACACAUGCAAGUCGAACGGAACUAUUUUGGAAACUCCUUCGGGAGCGGAAUCUUUAGUUUAGUGGCGGACGGGUGAGUAACGCGUGAGCAAUCUGCCUUUAAGAGGGGGAUAACAGUCGGAGACGGCUGCUAAUACCGCAUAAAGCAUUGAAUUCGCAUGUUUUCGAUGCCAAAGGAGCAAUCCGCUUUUAGAUGAGCUCGCGUCUGAUUAGCUAGUUGGCGGGGUAACGGCCCACCAAGGCGACGAUCAGUAGCCGGACUGAGAGGUUGAACGGCCACAUUGGGACUGAGACACGGCCCAGACUCCUACGGGAGGCAGCAGUGGGGAAUAUUGCGCAAUGGGGGAAACCCUGACGCAGCAACGCCGCGUGAUUGAAGAAGGCCUUCGGGUUGUAAAGAUCUUUAAUUCGGGACGAAUUUUGACGGUACCGAAAGAAUAAGCUCCGGCUAACUACGUGCCAGCCGCCGCGGUAA
rnacentral:rRNA from 1 species